UGGGGAAUAUUGGACAAUGGGCGCAAGCCUGAUCCAGCCAUGCCGCGUGAGUGAUGAAGGCCCUAGGGUUGUAAAGCUCUUUCACCGGUGAAGAUAAUGACGGUAACCGGAGAAGAAGCCCCGGCUAACUUCGUGCCAGCAGCCGCGGUAAUACGAAGGGGGCUAGCGUUGUUCGGAUUUACUGGGCGUAAAGCGCACGUAGGCGGACUAUUAAGUCAGGGGUGAAAUCCCGGGGCUCAACCCCGGAACUGCCUUUGAUACUGGUAGUCUUGAGUUCGAGAGAGGUGAGUGGAAUUCCGAGUGUAGAGGUGAAAUUCGUAGAUAUUCGGAGGAACACCAGUGGCGAAGGCGGCUCACUGGCUCGAUACUGACGCUGAGGUGCGGAAGCGUGGGGAGCAAACAGG
rnacentral:rRNA from 1 species